GCAGAAAUGUUACAUAUUUCAGCUGCAGCUUUAUUGUUCUUUGGGACGGGUUUUCUCCAAGUUAUGUUUUCUACAGCAAACAUUCAGACUCAUCCAGGACAAAGUGUCACUAUGUGGUGUCCACACAAUAUCCAUGUUACUGGAAAUCUGUACUGGUUCAAACAAUCAGACAGUGCUGUACCCAUUACUAUUGUGCACAUGUUAUACACCGAACGUCUUCAGAAGGUUGAGCCAAAUUAUUUCAACAGUUUCACAAAUGAUUGCAUCGUCAUGGAUCAGUUCAGCAAAAGCACCACCCUAACAAUUAAGCAAGUGAAAAUUUCUGAUUCUGGCUUCUACUUUUGUGGAGCUACAGGUUAUCACAUGAAGUUUGGCACUGGAACCAGGCUUGAAGUAAAAGCACAUGUUGAAAAACACCACAAUUUAAAUACUAUUGUAAAUGCCACAAUGGUAAAUGACUUGCCAACUGUUUUCAUAUCAGAGAAAAAUUUCACAGGAACCUCAAAAAAGGAUCAUGAGCAAUGACCCGUGUCUACUGAGGAGUGUUCUAGAGACAUUUAUUUCAAACUGACCCUCCUAUUUGGUGGAAUAAUUUUUUUUACAUGCAUCGUUCCUCUUAUUUUGGCGAUUAUCAGGGAACACAGAAGACAGAAGCAUAAAAAAGUCGCUGAAUGUC